rnacentral:lncRNA from 1 species
GUAAAUGAAAAUGUAAAUGAAAAUGAAGGUUAUAAUGACGGUCAAGAAGAUGACAAAAAUGAUGAAAAUAAUGUUUUGUCAAAAGAAAAAAAUUUAAAAUAUUCAAAAAAAAAAAUGUUACCGUUUUUACCUAUCGAAACACAUAAAUUAGCAAAGUUUUGUAAUGUUAUAAGAGAUUAUGAAAAAGAUUAUAAUUUAAACUUGUCUGUACAUAGUCAAUGGUUACCUGUUUUAUUUAAUAUGCCAAUUGUUAAUAAAUUACCACAUUGGGUUAAAAAAUGUAAAUAUUGUUGUUUCAAAAUGACUGAGUUGAAUAAUAUUCAAAAUAGUAAAGAAAGCAUCACUUCUUUUUUAUCUAAUCAUCAAGAAAAUGAAAAACAAACGGAAGAUAAAACAGAAAAUAAAAUAGAGGAUAAAAUAGAGGAUAAAAUAGAGGGUGAUAUUAAGAAAGGUAAGAAUAAUAAUAGUAAUGAAAAUAUUGAUGAAAAAGAUGAAACGAAUAAUGAACGUGAUAAAAAACAGGAUGAUGGUGAUGGUGAUGAUGUAGAAAAUAAUAAUAAAAAUGAUAAAAAUGACAAAAAUGAUAAAAAUGAUAUGAACGAAUAUAAUGACUCAAAUGUUGAUGGAAAUAAUGAUAACGAAAAAAAUACAGAUGUUGAAGAAAAAGAAAAUGAUAAAGAUAAAAAUGAUCAAAAAGAUAAUAAUAAUAAUAAUAAUCAAAAAAAUAAAAAAAAAAAUAAAGAAAAAAAAGAAGAUACUGAUGAAUAUAAUGUUUUAAAAAUACCACCACAAGUUUUUGAUUAUCCAAUUGAUCAAUUAGGUCAUGUAAAUGAAUGCUUUUUAUUUAAACUUUAUUCUAUUAAUAGUAAAAGUAUUUUAAUUUCAAGACUAACAUUAAAAUAUGAUCCUAGAAUAUCAGGAUGGAAAGGAGAUAAUAAAAUUAAAAAAGAUAUGAUAAACAAUAUGUCUAUGAAUAUGAACAAUAUGUCUAUGAAUAUGAAUAAUAUUUCGAUGAAUAUGAAUAAUAUGCCUAUGAAUAUGAAUAUAAUGAAAAAUAUGAACAUGAUGAACAUGCAUAAAUAUAAAGGUGGUAAAUACAAAAAUAAUAAAUCAGUUAAUCCAAAUAUUGCAAGUAUGACAAACAUGGCCAACAUAACAAAUAUGGCAGCUGGAAUGACAGGCAUGACAAACAAUAUGAUGAAUCCAUACAUGAAUGGCACAUAUAACCCUAAUUAUCGAAACAAUAUGUAUGACCAAAAUAUUCCUAUUCCACCUCCCAUGAAUAAUUUUAACAAAAAAAUGUACCAAGGACAUAAUAUGAACAUUAAAAGAAAAAACGAUUUAUACAAUUGUGAUAGCAUGGAAAAGUGCUACGAUAACUAUAAUAUGAAGGAUAACUACAAAUCAGAUGACGAUAGCUGUAAGAACUUCAUUUCUUAGUUUUAAUACGUGUGUAAUAUAAACUUUGUUUUGUGUAUAAUAUAAGCGUUUUAAUAAAAAAAAAAAAAAAAAA